CUUUUACGUCGGCCUUCGCGAGCGUCUGGGCGGGUGGUAGGAACAAUGGCGCUGUCUUCAGUGGCACAGUGGAGCAGCUCUGAAGAUGCAAAGUGAGGGUCGCUGUCUGCCCAUUGAUAGAGGCCAGAUUGUCUUGGAAGUUCCAAAGUUGCAACGAUUUCUGGCUAGUGCCACGAGGUUUACUUGACUGUUGUGUGAAAAGCUGAUAAGAAAACCAUCCAGAAAAAAGCUCUUCGUUUUACAAACAUGAAAAUAAAACAUUUAGUUGAAUCCAUGGACAUGAAACCCACAGAUAUAGAGGGUUGGCCCGGUGCAGUGGCUCACGCCUGUAAUCCCAGCACUUUGGGAGGCCAAGGCGGGUGGAUCACCUGAGGUCAGAAGCUUGAGACCAGCCUGGCCAACAUGGGUACUGCUUUCUCUUGCUGCAGCUUGCUUCCUCCCUCAGGUAUGAAGUUAAGGUAACAUGAAGGAGGAUAUUGAAUGUUCCUAACACAAAGAAAUGAUAAAUGUUUGAGAUGGUGGAUGUACUAAUUGCCCUGAUCUGAUGACUAUACAUUAUAUAUAUUGAAACAUCAGUAUGUACCCCAUGAAUA
rnacentral:lncRNA from 1 species